AUGGAUAUAGAGAAAAGUAAAAAAGACUGGGAUUAUUAUUCCAAAAAUACAUGUAAAAUCCAUGAUCUUAUGCAUGAUAUUGCGAUGUCUCUUAUGGAAAAGGAAUGUGUUGUUGCAACUAUGAAACCAAGUCAAAUCGAGUUGCUUCCAGAUACUGCUCGGCAUUCAUUUUUGUCAUGUGAAGAAACAAAAAGUAUUUUAAAUGUUUCUAUGGAGAAAGGAUCCCCAGCUAUCCAAACCCUGAUAUGCGACAGUUAUGUGCAACGCCCAUUGCAGCACCUAUCAAAAUACAGCUCUUUGCGUGCCUUGAAGCUUUGGAUAAGAACAAAAUCAUUUCCACUGAAACCAAGUAUCUGCCUCACCUGA
rnacentral:rRNA from 1 species